GACGAACGCUGGCGGCGUGCUUAACACAUGCAAGUCGAACGGAAAGGCCCUGCUUUUGUGGGGUGCUCGAGUGGCGAACGGGUGAGUAACACGUGAGUAACCUGCCCUUGACUUUGGGAUAACUUCAGGAAACUGGGGCUAAUACCGGAUAGGAGCUCCUGCUGCAUGGUGGGGGUUGGAAAGUUUCGGCGGUUGGGGAUGGACUCGCGGCUUAUCAGCUUGUUGGUUGGGUAGUGGCUUACCAAGGCUUUGACGGGUAGCCGGCCUGAGAGGGUGACCGGCGACAUUGCGACUGAGAUACGGCCCAGACUCCUACGGGAGGCAGCAGUGGGGAAUAUUGCACAAUGGGCGGAAGCCUGAUGCGGCAACGCCGCGUGCGGGAUGACGGCCUUCGGGUUGUAAACCGCUUUCGCCUGUGACGAAGCGUGAGUGACGGUAAUGGGUAAAGAAGCACCGGCUAACUACGUG
rnacentral:rRNA from 1 species